GCGGUCGUGGCGGAAUUGGUAGACGCGCUAGCUUGAGGUGCUAGUAACUUAACCGUUGUGGAGGUUCGAGUCCUCUCGACCGCACCA
rnacentral:tRNA from 4 species